rnacentral:rRNA from 1 species
UACGAAGGGGGCUAGCGUUGCUCGGAAUCACUGGGCGUAAAGGGUGCGUAGGCGGGUUUUUAAGUCAGGGGUGAAAUCCUGGAGCUCAACUCCAGAACUGCCUUUGAUACUGAAGAUCUCGAGUCCGGGAGAGGUGAGUGGAACUGCGAGUGUAGAGGUGAAAUUCGUAGAUAUUCGCAAGAACACCAGUGGCGAAGGCGGCUCACUGGCCCCGGUACUG